ACUCCUACGGGAGGCAGCAGUGGGGAAUAUUGCACAAUGGGCGCAAGCCUGAUGCAGCCAUGCCGCGUGUAUGAAGAAGGCCUUGGGUUGUAAAGUACUUUCAGCAGUGAGGAAGGUGGGAUAUGUUAAUAGCAUAUUCUAUUUGUACGUUAGCUGCAGAAGAAGCACCGGCUAACUCCGUGCCAGCAGCCGCGGUAAUACGGAGGGUGCGAGCGUUAAUCGGAAUUACUGGGCGUAAAGCGCAUGCAGGUGGUUUGUUAAGUCAGAUGUGAAAGCCCGGGGCUCAACCUCGGAAUUGCAUUUGAAACUGGCAAACUAGAGUACUGUAGAGGGGGUAGGAAUUUCAGGUGUAGCGGUGAAAUGCGUAGAGAUCUGAAGGAAUACCGGUGGCGAACGGCGGCCCCCGUGGACAGAUACUGACACUCAGAUGCGAAAGCGUGGGAGCAAACAGGAUUAGAUACCCCGUGUAGGUCAGUC
rnacentral:rRNA from 1 species